rnacentral:lncRNA from 1 species
GAUGCAGAACUCUUAGCUCCUCCUGCACCAUGCCUGCCUGGAUGCUGCUGUGAUCCUGCCUUGAUGAUAAUGGACUGAACUUCUGAACCUGAGGCACCGGAGAUAUGGUUCUGCCAUUAAGAGCACUGGCUGUUCUUCCAGAGGACCCAGGUUCAAUUCCCAGCACCUAUAAGGCAGCUCACAAGCAUCUAUAACACCAGUUCCAGGGGAUCUUGUGUCCUCUUCCAGUCUCCACGGACAUUGGGCACACGUGUGGUAAACAGACCCCUGCGAACGAUCAAAGAUGGAGAAAUGAGCAGUCCUCAAGCAACAACGCCCUCCUAAUGCGCAAGCGCGCCCGGAGGCCCCGCCCCUCGCGGUCACCCCAAGACCAGGCGCGCGCAUCGGAAGUCAGAACCUCCAAGGCUCCUCCUUGCUCUUCCUCCACAAGGCCCCGCGUUCGCAGUCCGGUUCCGGUUGUAGCUCCGCCCUCGCGCGGGAACACGCCAGAAGGCUGGAUAUCCGGGACGGGAGGCUAGCUGAGCGCUCACUUCCGGUGGCAGCUCGUCCCAUCUCCCUUGAGGGGCAGGCUCUGGCUCUCGGUGCGGUAGCGCCAUCUGGCGCCGAGUGUUCCUCAGCCCGCGGAGGGGCGUGCUUCCUCCCUUCAGAACAUUCCAGAGACUCCUCGGCUCUGGUAGGCUUUAUGCAUUCCGCCAGAAGGGCGGGACCCAAGACUCCUCCUCUGCCGAGUUCCCGCG